UUUACAGGACAAGAGUAAACAGUUUUCACUCUCCAGAAGAAAAGAACUACCAAUGACAUGAUUUCAUAAACCAGACAGAAGUGUGUUUAGUUAUAUCGAUGUCACGUGUUUCGCACUUUGACACUGGUCUGUUGUGCCUCUCAGUGAAAGAGAGAAAAAGAGACAGGCUGGUGAGUUUAAGCAAAAAGGAAAGUGAGAAAGAAUCAAUACUUGAAUCUGAUACAAUGUUAUCAAUCGUUUAUUUUGUUUUUCUGAUCUCUUUUUCAGCCCUAGCAAAGAGUGAAAAUGAAGCUCUUUCAGUUUGGUGGGAGCCAGAGAUGCCCUCGCAUACUGAAACCUCACACAGUUUGAUGGAUGGCAAUGGAAAUGAGUUUUCGAGAGUGCGACCGAACAUCAUCUUCUGUUGUGUAUGCCAAGAGGCUGUAAAACGAGCUAAAAAUGCAGUUUAUCAAAAGCUACAAAAGAAGAUAAACACUGUAUGUUACAAAUACAUAGAGCCUUUUCGAAAGAUCUGCUUUCAGCGUGCAGUGAAAUAUCGGGACAUCAUACUACACAAGAUCUUCCCUGGAGGGAGUCCAAGGGGCACAUGUGUGAAGAUAAAGUUAUGCUAGUAACAACUGUGACAAUGGCUGUAAAAGGGAUACAUUUACAUUGACUGUUAGUAGCUAACGUCAAAUCUGUUUUUAAAUUAUCAAAGCUGUUCUUCAUUAUUUGAGAGAAAAUUGUUAGUUGAAUAUCAGUCCACUGCCAUGUGUAUUUGUAUUUAAUGUGCAUUUUUUUUUGUUAUGUACUUGAAUAUUUAUCAGCUAUGGGGUCUUCUGUUUUCAUUUAUGCUUUUCAGAAAAUCAAUGAAAAAUGCAGGAAAUUGAUCCUAGGGAGGCGCAUCUGCUUUUCUGUAGCCAACGGAUACAAAAAAUCCAUAAUAAGGACUUUUUUUCCUGGAGAUACUCCUAUUGGCACCUGCAGAGUGAUGAGGUUAUGUGAUCACAGAGAUGAUAAGAUCAAAAAAUGCAGUUAAAAUUAUGUUUAAUCAGAAAUGCCUUUAAAAUGUUUUAAGAGAUGGAUGUUUAUUGUACUGAAGAUUAUACUACUGCUUUUUUGGGGGAUCCUCUGUAAGGUGUAAGAUUGUGUUAUGUUUAAAAAUAAAAUAAUUGUCCUGUGA